GCGGGGGCAGCACGUUGGGAUGCGCGCUACUUAAGGUCCAGCUGCGUGAGCCAUUGACGUGUUUGGAGCUGGAGACGGCCUGGGCGCUGGCGAAGCGGUCGCCCGAGUAAGAAAACUGUUAGGAUGCCCAUGGUAGCAGGAAGGCUGAGAGAUCCUGACAUAAACCCUUGCUUGUUGGAAUCUGAUGCUUCUACCAGGUGUAUGGAUGAAAAUAACUACGACAGGGAACGGUGUUCCACUUACUUCUUGAAGUACAAAAACUGCCGGAAAUUCUGGGAUCCUUGAGGGCUCUUACUGGCUGCCUCCUCCGGGCUGGAAGAAUGCAGGGCUCAUAUAGAAUUCUGUCAUGGUCCAGAGAAGACAGAAUGGAGUGAAGCCAUCUAUGCCUACAGCAGCAGAAAGAGAUGAGAUCCUGGGGGCAAUGGGAAAGAUGCCUUACUGACUGUUUGCAUUAAAAUUGUUUAUUUAAUUUA